rnacentral:lncRNA from 1 species
CAUAUAUUCCAACGCAUACCAAGUACACAUUAUCAUAUUUAUGAUUAAUAAACAAUAAUGCCAUGGAUAAAAACUCUCAAUCAAGCAUAUAGAGAAUUCAAUAAAUUAAUCAUUUUGCAACUUAUCCAAUAGUGAGUAAAGUAUACUAUAAAAUGAAGUGAUUUGAUUAUAUUUCAAAAAGUAUUUUCUAUAUCACAAAAUUGAUCACUACUAGCAGAUCAUAUCAAAUACUAAAGCACAAAUGAUGAUGAGAUGCAAGAAUUACUGAUUUCAUUAUAUUUUUUGUUAAUAACUUUUUAAGUUUCUUUAUGUUCCAUGGGUACCUUGGUACACCUAUGUGUACAUCCUCAUUUUCUCAUUUUGGGUACCCAAGCUUGCUUGAGUCCUUGAGAGAUAGGACAUAUGGUUCCUUUUGGAACCCAUAUUUGUUUAAUAGUAAUAACUUUACCAUUUGAUUUAAUUAUACUAGAACGAUAGGUAAAGUUGUUAUGCCCAUCCUUUUCAUUUUUGAAAUAAGUUAUCUUAUUUAAUGGUUUGCUUGGUAAAUUGAUAACCUUUUUCUCUAGAGAUUUAUGGCUAAGUGAAGGAGUCAAGCUAAAUUUUGAUUUAUCAAAAUCAGCAUGUUGGCUUUCAAACAUCAUUUUUAAUCUUUCUGAGCUUACGGUGAAUUUGUUAAUACAAGAUUUUAAUUGAUUAAUUUCUUCGCUUAAGUUUUGAUUUUCUUUAAUUAAGCUAUGAUUUUUCUGAAUCAAUUCUUCAGAAAAUGACCUUAAGCUUUCAUUUU